rnacentral:rRNA from 1 species
UGGGGAAUAUUGCACAAUGGGCGAAAGCCUGAUGCAGCAACGCCGCGUGAGUGAUGAAGGCCUUCGGGUUGUAAAGCUCUGUCUUUUGGGACGAUAAUGACGGUACCAAAGGAGGAAGCCACGGCUAACUACGUGCCAGCAGCCGCGGUAAUACGUAGGUGGCAAGCGUUGUCCGGAUUUACUGGGCGUAAAGGAUGCGUAGGCGGAUUUUUAAGUGAGAUGUGAAAUACCCGGGCUUAACUUGGGUGCUGCAUUUCAAACUGGGAAUCUAGAGUGCGGGAGAGGAGAAUGGAAUUCCUAGUGUAGCGGUGAAAUGCGUAGAGAUUAGGAAGAACACCAGUGGCGAAGGCGAUUCUCUGGACCGUAACUGACGCUGAGGCAUGAAAGCGUGGGUAGCAAACAGGAUUAGAUACCCUGGUAGUCCACGCCGUAAACGAUGAGUACUAGGUGUAGGAGGUAUCGACCCCUUCUGUGCCGCAGUUAACACAAUAAGUACUCCGCCUGGGAAGUACGAUCGCAAGAUUAAAACUCAAAGGAAUGACGGGGUC